GUGAGUCAUCGAAUCUUUGAACGCACCUUGCGCCCCUUGGUUAUUCCUCGGGGCAUGCCUGUUUGAGUAUCAUGAACACCUCAACUCUCACGGUCUUCCGUGACGAGCUUGGACUUUUGGAGGUUUGCUGGUUUUGCGGCCGGCUCCUCUCAAAUGAAUCAGCUUGCCAGUGUUUGGUGGCGUCACGGGUGUGAUAACUAUCUACGCUCGCGGUCGUCCGCCAGGUAACCCUCGAUCGUGAAGGUUUCAUUGGAGCUCACAAACGUCCCUCGGGACAACUUUUGAACGUUCGAUCUCAAAUCAGGUAGGACUACCCGCUGAACUUAAGCAUAUCAAUAAGCGGAGGA
rnacentral:misc_RNA from 1 species